GCCUGGCUAGCUCAAUCGGUAGAGCGUGAGACUCUUAAAAUGGUCAUCUCAAGGUUGUGGGUUCGACCCCCACGUUAGGCU